UUCUUCCACCCCGGCUUCACGUCGAUCGUUAGGAUCUCUUCCACUGGGAUCGUCUUCCUGCACACACAAGUUUAGCAUAGCAGUGGUGAGCACACAAUCUGCAAAUGGAACUCAGCUUUCUUGUUUUGUGGCUGUAGUGUUAUAUAGCUCACGGAUUGACGGGGACAAAACAAGCUGGCACAGCCCAAAUGGCAAAUGCAAAUCAAUUCAACUGACUGAGCUACCGCUGCUAAAGCAGUAAACUCAAACAUCUAUGAUGGCUGAUCCGCAGAAUUUAUAUUAAAAAAAGAUCAAACCAACUCGCCCAAUCGGUCGAAUUUAAGAAAAUUUAACUUGAUUCCAGUCUAGAAUCAAAGUCAUUUUUAGGACAGCAGCUUAAAUCCAACAGCAGAAAUUAACCAAGCAUAAAUCUCAUCAGGUUAUAGCUCAAGCAAAUUUAAGGAGUCUUUUAUUGCGUUUCAGUUCAGUUUCAAAUACUUUAAUCAACAACAGCAAUUUCAAACAAACAAUGCUGAGACGGAGAUGCGAAGAGAAGGCAGAUGCUUACCCACUGGCGUCAGAGAUUUCCCUGGAGAUCUUCAUCUUCUUGGUGGUGCCCUUGUACAGCUCCUCGAGGCUGCACGGCAGCUUCCGCUCUAUGGCCGGCGCCUUCACGGCCCGCCCGCCGGCGUGCAUGCCGUGCCCGUCCGGGCCGCCGCCGAACGCAGAGCCGAAUAUGUCGUCCCCGAAGAUGGAGGAGGAGAACCUCGUACCGCCGCUCCGCAUGCCGGGCAUCCCACCGCCCAUGCCGCUGCCGCCCAUGCCACCGCCGCCCAUGCCGCCGAAGGGGCUGGAGCCGCCGAAGAACUCGGCGAAGAUGUCCUCCGCGUUGCGCGGGUUGAACCGGAACACCGUCGGCCCGUCGCCGCCGGUGGAGAAGAAGGUUGCGCCGCCGGGCCCCGCCCCGCCGGCGCCCGGCGGCGGCACCUGCCCCUUAAGACCCUCCUCGCCGUACUGGUCGUACACCGCGCGCUUCUGCGGGUCGCUCAGCACCUGCACGGACACAGAGAGCCAGAGGCCAAGAGCACGUUACGACACGAUUGGGCCGGCUGGGGAGACGAAUCUGGCGUGGAUCUUCUCCGGACGCCCACUUACCUCGUACGCCUCCGAGAUCUGCUUGAACUUGUUCUCGGCCUCCUUCUUGUUGUUGGGGUUCUUGUCGGGGUGCCAUUUCAUGGCGAGCUUGCGGUAGGCCUUCUUGAGGUCGUCAUCGGUGGCGCCCUUGUCGACGCCUAGGAUCUUGUAAUAGUCAAGCCCCAUCGUUACUGCUUCCUUCCCGCUUCGCCGCUUUGCGUGCCCGCGCUCUUGGUUAUCGCCGGAGACUCGCGCUCGUUUGGACGUUCUCGCUGUCGUUGCGAUUCGGUGAGGUUUGGUUGGUUCGGGGUAGGAGACGGGAGGAGAGGAGGGGAGAGAAAAGGGGAUGAGAGAAGCGUCUGGAUAGACGAAGCGACGAGCCGACGAGACCGGUCUGGAGACGGGUGUGGAAGCUUCUGGAAGGCGCAGGAAACUGCGCGCGGAAUCUAGGGGCGCAGCCCAGGUGGAGCUCUCCCUGUUAAGAACCCUUUGCUACCGAGUGUAGUCCAAAGGCUACUUAACUAGAAGUGGAAUCACAAACACAGGAGACACAAAGAUAUAGGAGGAACUGAUAUUCUCAUUCAUGUAUUCUGUUUACUGGUUACAACAAAUGGUAGUGUCCUCCUCUAUAUAUAGUGCACAGUUAGGGUUUAGGCUAGAUGGGCCACAUGGGCCUUCGGGGCCCAAACAGGUUUCUUAACACUCCCCCUUGGCCCUCUUGCCGCGAGAUACACAUGUCCCAAAACUCCACAAAAACCCAAUAGGAAAAAAUUGGAGAAAGAGUACAUGGCUCACGCUUGCUGUGUUGCAUGAUUUGUCUCAUUAAAAACCAUACGUGAGAAACUUCUAUUGAAAACUCACAUAAGGGGAAAAGAGUACAAAUCACCUUUUUCUUCAUUUAAUCUUAAGACUAUAAUUAGGUAUUUGAACUUCAUGCUCAAGAUUCAAUUUAGGAGUAUGCAAAUUUCUCCCCCUGAGAACCACACUUUUAAGUCUUUUAUAAUUGCUUCAAGUCCAUCCUUUCAAUGAUGGAUGCAAUGCUUAAAUGGAGAUCUACAAGAUGCUCUUGUGCCUUAUUAUGCAAGACUCUAACGUGGUUCAACAUAUGCCUUCUUGAUCAUAUAUUAAUGGGAUUUUCAUACAUAGCACAUAUCCCAUCAUUACUUAUGCAACACAAGCUUCUUUACUUCAUAAGUUGGUAGUGGGAUUCCUUAAUCCACAUUACUUAUAUCGUGGAGUGUUUCUUAUUCGAAGUAUACAUCUUCACAAAUCUUUAUGCUAGACUUUGGUUCCCAUAUGAGUUUGUCAUUGUUGACACAAAGGUCCACUUUCUGACUUCAAUAUGACUUUAAUUUACAACAAAGGGAUUCAUAUUCAUAUUUAGGUACAUGUCUUGAUCUUCAAUGCAAAAUUUCUUAGCCCUUUGGAUAUAUUGGAGUAUAUUCAUGAUUGGUAUUUAUUUAUACUUAUUGCCAUUACCGAUCAAACACAAUGACACAUAGAGUGUCUACCUUGGGUGUAUCGACAUGGUAUUUCCUCCCCCUCAUCCUUAGGUUCUUAUAGGUCUGGGUUCACAAAUGACCGACCAAUUAAUAGUAUUUUCAUAAUGCACUUUUCUAUAAUUGAGAACCUUUUCAGUAUGAUAAGGUAUAGGUUUCAAAUAUUCAUUCAAGCAUGCCUCAAGCCAUAUGCUUAAGCUGUGGCAUGCUCAUACUUCGAGUAUGUUUGCAUUCUUGCACGAUUCUUUCAAUAUUUGUGGUAACUUUUCGAAGUUACACUAUGCUUAAUUUUAUUUGCCUUUCUUAGGUUAUGGUCAAUGACACUUCCAUGUGCCUAUAAAUAUAUAAGUCGAAAUCAAGAUCUUUCCUUUAUUUAAUCAUCCUCUUAUUCAACUUCAAGUUGAUUUCUGCCAAUGAGAUAAACAUACUUACAAAGGAGAUAAUGCCCAUGAUUAGGAAAAACAGAUCUUCAAGAACUUGAGCUGCUAGUGGUCAUUGUAUCUUUGCUACAGUGAUUGCCAUCUUUUCAAGAUAGUCUGUAUUAUAUGAUAGAUACAUAAUGACUAUUGCUCUUGUUCAAGUAUUACCAUUCCUUUUCAGAAUUCACAGGAGUGCUUUAUGCACUUUAUCUUGCUUUACUCCAAUAUUUCUCAAUACGGUAGCAAGCUCCUUUAUUAAUAGCUGAUGAGCUCAAAUUUGUUUCAGCUUUCUCUUCUUUUUCAUUUACCGGUAUAUUCAUAUCCUGAAGGCACCUCGCUAGAAGGCUGCUCUCCAGUUACCAGCUCUCAACUGGUUCCCCCAUUAUUUCGUUGGGGUGUUUCGUGACUAGGCUGUGAUAAGCUCCCUUAUCCAUUUUUCUCCAGGCGUCCCCGGGUACUUGGAAUUAGAGUAACUAGAUUUCCUAUCCUUUUCUUUGAGGCCUCGGAAUAGGAUGAGGAAUACCAUUCAUGGUACUUAAGUCCUCUCUAGUGCACUAAACAAUAGUGUGACUUGAUCACGCUCUACAAAUCACAAAACAAAAUGGCAGUUCAAUACUUUAUUCCAAUGUCUUCUUGACAUUCCAAUUUACUUAUUGGUAUUGCACGAGAAUAUUCUAUGUGAAUUCUCGGCUUCUUGAUUUUCUAGUUUUCUUAUUAGUGUGGGUCUUGCACGGGGAUCUUUUUGGCUUUUCGAGCGAUUUCCCGGCAUUCUUAUUUCAAGUAUUCUUUUCCUCCCCCUAAUGCCGUGGAAUAGAUCAUUAGGCAUUAUUGUGGUAAGUACAUAUACCAUAGAUUUGAAGUUGGGGAGUUAUUCUUAUGACGUCUUGCACUAGUCAUAUGCAAUAGAACUAUAUGUCCCUUUUCUUUUUUUUUUAAUUAUGGACUUCAUGUCCUUUUCUUGAAAAAGAAAUAACUCCUCAAUUGUGACCAUAUUUUCUAAGUGCAUCCUUAUUCCAUUUUGCAUCUUUCUUCAUACUACUAGGCUUCAUAGUGAUGAUUACUCAAUAUAUCCAUAAUUCUUAUGAGCAAUGCUAACAACUUCAUUGGUAUGUGGUUUUCUAAGGAGCGCAUUCACUUUUGACCACUUCGAUGAAGCAGAUGGCACAUAUAAUUGCUUAAGAUCCCUAAUAAGGGUUUUACACCACCAUGGAUAUCUCCUAGAUGCAUUCUAGGUAAGGAGUAUUCUUUAAAUUGCACUUUUCAUGAGAGAAUAUUGCAUUAUAAGUUUCCUGCAUGGCUCAAAGAGUGCUCAUAUGAAUCUUCUUGAUUGAGGGGAUACUCAUGUGGUGGUCAUGCAAUUUGAUUGCUUCUCAUUAUUUGCGAACAUAAUUGUGACUUCUAUUAUGCAAAGGAAGAGGAUAUAUGAGCUUCUAAACUCUUUAUCCAAAUAACAAAUUGACAAUUCAAGUGUAAAUAUUCUAAUAGAAUGGAAUUGAUGUUCAAAAUAAAAGAUUUUUUUUCAUAAAUAAUUUUCACAUCCAAUCUUUCAUGACACUCCAUAUGGAAAACAUCCAUGUUCCUUAACAAUUCAUAGGGAACAUACUAUGUUCAUUGUUUCCUCUUGAAACAAAUUCUUAUAGAUCUCUCUUAAACUUGAGAGAUUAUUACAAGUGUGAUGCUUCGUAUGAUCAUGCUUCUUCAAGUGCUGAUAUAAUGUCACAUUUUUCAUUUUAUGCAUAUAUUGUAAAAUAAAUGCUCGAGGAAUGACAUUAUAGUGGAUAACCUUCGUGGUUCACUUGGAUGUGCUCUUCUUAAAAUUCUUUUUUGUGCUGACAUCUCUUUCGACGUUUAAUAUCAAUCGGAUACUUUUCAUAGUAUUCAAGAUAUGACACAUAUGCUUCUAUGUUACUUUCAUGUUCCAUAGCAAUCAAAUAAAAGCAAGGUUUCUUAAAGGGGAAACAAAUAUCAGUCAUACUUUAAAAUAUAUACUAAAUAAAGAUUCAUAUAUACCGAUGAGAAAAAUGUGGCCUUUUCUUCAAGAGUUGGCAAUUAUUUGCCAAAUAGGUCUACUCUUUGUGGGUUUCUAAUUCAUGCAAUAUUUACAUCCACAAUUCUAAAAGUGGUGCGAGAGAUAUUGAACGUUCAUAAAAGAUCACUCAGAAACAAAUGUUUACUUCAAUACCAUUGUUUGGAGUAUUUUCCUCUCCAAUCAACUUCAUGUUUUUUUUACGACUAGAGGCAAGGGGUACCUCUUCAUGAGGGUCCAUUCAUAGUGUACAUGACUUGCUUCUUGCUUGUUUGACAAUAAAUCUACAUUGGUAAAAACCAAGUUGGUUUGCCUUCAUUUGGCAAUUCAUACGAUCGAAAUUGGGUAUGGUACAUGCAUGUAAUGAUGCAAAUAAUAUAAGAGGUUGUGUACAUUAGAGGUAACAAGAUGACCUUAUAUGGUUCGUGUGAAUGAUAUUGUUGUUUAUAUGCUAGUGUUAGAUUGCUUGUCAAAUAUUUUCAACUAUAUCAAGAGAAGUACCGAUCAUAUGUCCACUUCAUGAGACUUGUGCAUAUUAAUUGAUCGACGUAGAAGUCGGCGAUUUUAAAUCAGCAACAAUUAUAUGCCACACCUCGAUCGACUUCUUGUCGGCGACUACUAGUCAGCAACGAUGGUGCAUUCAUAUGUCAUGUGGAGACAAUACUUGAAAUUGCCCAUAUAUCCAUAUUUGAAAUAUAUACAAAACACUUGCAAUACUAUAAGUGGUAUGUUGUAUUCUUCUCAUGAAAUUCAAUAACAUUGCAAAAAAAAAAUUACACUAAUAAUUCCAUAAAUGUAUUGCAUAAAGGUAAACAAUACCAUAAAAUUACCUCAAUUUUCAUAAUGCCAUGACCCGUUUACGCCAUCGGCAAUGCUUCUUGCAAUUGUAGUUUAAUCAUGAGUGCUUCUUUGCAAUUCAUAAUUUCCGAGAACACUUCUUGUUAUUUCAGACAUCUUAGAUAUGAUUAUUCAUACAUUCAUAAAAUGUUGCAUGUACUUUCGAGAAAAUAAAAUUGAGUCCAUUACUUCAUGCAGGACUUCCAUAAUAUGUGAUGUGUUUUCCAGUAAUAUACACUCAUCACAAUAUGCUUCACGUCAUAUGCAAAAAAAUAAUAUAGAAUGCUUCAAGUGUUAUACUUUGUAUGCUUUAGGAUUUACUUCUUGUAAAUUUCAAAGUAUUCUAGGUUUUUUUUUAAUAUUGCUAUAUAAUUAAAUAUUCAUCAAUACAACAAGGAAUUUUCUGUUGCACUGUAGGGAUAAAUAUAGCAAAUGAACAAAAGUAAUACAAAUUCAUAAUUCAAACGUUUAGAAAAAUUACAAUAAUCAGACUAAAUAAAUAGUAAAAUAUUCAAAUGUAUAAAUAGCGAAUAAUUCUAAUGUCAAUUAUUGCAUGAAAAAUAUUUCUCUUCAGUUUUCUAUAAUUCAAGAGGUAAAAACAAAAAAACAUGUAGUUUAAGGAGAGACGUGCAAAUUUCGGCCCAAAAGGCCCAUUCAAAUGUGUUUUUAGGGUUUCCCAGCCCCCUUUUUUUUUUCUCCUUCCCAGUGCAUGGGGAUGGCGGCCGCUGUGCCUGGUUGCCUUUCGGACGGCGGCUUGGCUUGCUCGCACGGGCUCGCCUGCGGCGGCGGUUCAGCGUGCUUGCUCGGGGCGACGGCACGGAGCCUGCUCGCUUGCCUGCGGCAGCGGCUCGGCCUGCUCGCUCGGGAAGCCCGUGCCUGUUCGCGGCAGUGGCGGCGAGGCCCACGCUUGCUCGAUUACGGCAGUGGCGGCGGUUUCUACCCUCGCCUGCUCGCCUUCGGCGUCAACAGCCCAGCCUACGUGCGUUCGGGCACGACGGCUUAGCAUAUGUGCUUGCCCACGGGUAGCCAGGCUGCAUACUUGCUCGUAUGGCGGUGCCUGCUCCCGUGCGCACGCCCAUGAGGCGGCGAUGUUGGCUGCUCGGUGUGCAUGCUUGCCCGCGACAGUGCCUGCGUUGGUACUUCUGGCGGCGACAGCUCGCCUGCGCGGUGUCGUGGCGGCACCUGCUGCUUGUGCGGUGACAUGGUGGUGUCCGUGACUAUGACCAGCUGGUGGCGCAGCGACGGCCGGCACAGUUCCCGGCUUCCCGCUCUCGCAUUCGAGGUGAGGCGGUGCGACGGCAUCUGCUUGCACGCUUAUGAGCUUCAAGUCAGAAAAAUCGGAAAGCAAGCAAAUCUGCCUUUGUUUUCCUUCACCGGCGAGAAAACUACGGAUGCGUUUUCUUUUGAUUUCCAUAUGUGUAUACGUACAUUUGGGUUUAUGCCAGAGGGAAGAAAAAGAUUCAAAAUAAAUGCAAAAACUUCUUACUGCCAAGUGAAGUUACCGUCUUACUGCUUUGUCAACUCCUGGAUUGAGAGCAAUCGUGCUGAUAACGUGUUAAGAACCCUUUGCUACCGAGUGUAGUCCAAAGGCUACUUAACUAGAAGUGGAAUCACAAACACAGGAGACACAAAGAUAUAGGAGGAACUGAUAUUCUCAUUCAUGUAUUCUGUUUACUGGUUACAACAAAUGGUAGUGUCCUCCUCUAUAUAUAGUGCACAGUUAGGGUUUAGGCUAGAUGGGCCACAUGGGCCUUCGGGGCCCAAACAGGUUUCUUAACACUCCCGACUCACGUGACGUGAGACGGACGCGUCGUGCGUGCAGACAGCUUCGUUGGGCUGUCAAUAUGUCAGGACGGACCAUACAGUACUUCCUCCGUCGUAAAAAAUAUAUAAUUCAAUUUCUAUUAACGAAAAAAUGCCAAUUGUGACAUAAAUUAAUGAUCUUAAUCUUAAGUUAAAUUGAACUCUUAAUAUAGUAAAUUAAUGAUCUUUACUAUAUUAAUAAUGAAUUAAUUAUGUUUAGAAAAUCAUCUUAUUAUUUAGUCUUCAUCUCUAUAAUUGUUUUUAUAAUUAGACUACAUUUAAUAUUUAUAUUUAACAAUUAAACAUUUGACAUGAUACAUACUAAACUUUAGUAACCAAAUAUCCUCUAAAAACACAUAUGUAUAUGCUUCUAUAGUCACGAUCACCAUUUUUUUCAAAGAACCCUUUAGAAUUUUAAAAAUCAAACCUAUGGCCCGACCUUAGCCGCAAACCCUAAGAGCUUGUUUGGUUCCUUUAGUCUAGAGACUAAAGUUUAGUUGAAAGACUAAAGUUUAGUUUCUAUCCUGUUUGGUUCUAGGAACUAAAAGUAUUCAAAAUAUAUUAAAUGGAUCAUAAGAUGACCAAAAUACCCCUAAUCAUUCUUUCACCGUUAGUGCAACUGAAAUAAAGGAGGGGUAAAAGGUGUAAUUUAUAUGAUUUAAUCUCUUUUAGUCACCACUGACGGACUAGAGACUAAAAACAGUUUAGUCCCUAUUUUAGUCACAGUGUUUGACAAUUUAAGAACUAAAUGAGACUAAAAUAAAAAGACUAAUCUUUAGUCUCUCAAACCAAACAAAGAUGAUGCUCCUAGUAGAUGCUUUGGGGAUGAUGCUAAGCUGCUGCAAAAUACAGUACUGCCGUACUACCUGUUGUAGUCUUGGACCUUUUGUGCUUGAUCUCAGUCUGAUAGUGCAGGCUCCUAUCAUCGCGCUUUUGCUAAAUUUUAAGACAAUUACACCGAGACCGAGAAGACACGAUCAUCCUGAACACACCACGAUAUCUGUAUUAAGACGCACCCAGCUCGUAGAGAAGUGUUUCAAAGAUAGCACAGACAAACUAUAUCGUUAGUUUCAUUCUACACUUGCUAGUCAUCUUUGUCAUUCACAUGUUAAUUGCCAUUUACAUUUUUUUGGCAACAGAGCUCAGCAGACCUGUAUUUCAUUACUCUUGCAGGAAAAGUUCAGGUUCAAGAAACUUCAGAUGAACCAGAUCACCUUCCUAGAUUUGUUUAGCCAACUUGCGCUUCCAUUCUACUUUGUUCUAAAAUGUAGUAGCUGUUGUUAGAUGAGCUUUGCAAGAUGUCUUUCCUUUAGCCAAUCAGGAACCACUCAAUCAGUUGACAGUUGGGUUCAGGAUGUCCAUA
rnacentral:lncRNA from 1 species